rnacentral:rRNA from 1 species
UUUUGGUUGUAAAGUUCUUUUACGAGGGAUAAUUAUGAUAGUACUUCGUGAAUAAGUGACAGCAAACUAUGUGCCAGCAGCUGCGGUAAUACAUAGGUCGCGAGCAUUAUUCGGAUUUAUUGGGCGUAAAGCAAGCGCAGGCGGAUGUGUAAGUUCUGUGUUAAAUGCAGCUACUCAAUAGUUGUAUGCACCGAAUACUACAUGUCUAGAUUGUGGUAGGGAGUUUCGGAAUUAAGCAUGGAGCGGUGGAAUGUGUAGAUAUGCUUAAGAACACCAGAGGCGAAGGCGGAAACUUAGGCCAUAAAUGACGCUUAGGCUUGAAAGUGUGGGGAGCAAAUGGGAUUAGAUACCCCAGUAGUCCACACCGUAAACGAUGGGUAUUAGAUAUUAGGGCUUUAGCUUUAGUGUUGUAGCUUACGCGUUAAAUACCCCGCCUGGGUAGUACAUAUGCAAAUAUGAAACUCAAAGGAAUUGACGGGGACCUGAACAAGUGGUGGAGCAUGUUGCUUAAUUCGAUAAUACACGAAAAACCUUACC